AUGUUUCUUUUAGGAUUAAGGAUGCUCAUUAAAGUGAAGUUCAACCAUGAACAAAAGUUUGUUAAAGUUUCUGGCGCCGACCUGAAACUCUCUGAUUUUCUGGAUGAAGCCUUUGUGAAAUUCGGAAUUCCCGCCUCCAAACGCGCAGAGACCAGGCUCUACGAUUCGUCUUACACAGAAGUUGAUGAGGAUGUUUUCGAGGAGGUUAUAAAGCAGCCAAAUUUAGGCGUUUUUAUUCUUCGAUUCGAAAACUCGUCACAAGAUUUGGCCCAGGUCCCUUCUGUGACAAGUGAAGAAAGCUCAUUGCAGAAUGCAAACUAUGAAUCUGAUGACACCAGUCUUCUAAGUGAUGGAAGUCCUUCAAGAAAGCAACAGAGGGUUGAAGACGAAGCCAGAAUUGUGAGUCUGUGAUUUUUGCAUUGUAUAUUAUUCUACAGUACAAAUUUUAAACCUGACUAUGAAAAACAAGAAAUGUAACUGUGUGACUACUGACUACACAAUCUCUGGCCCUUUUCACACCUGGCAUCAACAUGACUUGGAUGAUAGUCACAACUAGUAAGCCAAGACACAUUGCUGUUUAAAUCUUGUCAAUUAUAUAUGUCUUUUGUGACUGCUUUUGAUUUCAUGGUGAAUGUUUUGCUGCUUUAAAGAACACAUCACUUGCAGGGUAUUAAAGGGUUAGUUCAUCCAAAAAUGAAAAUUCUGUCAUAAAUUACUCACCCUCGUGUUGUUCCUAACACGUAAGACUCUCAUUCAGUUUUGGAACACAAAUUAAUAUAUUAGUAAGGAAAUCUUUCCCUCUAUUGACAACUGAUGCAGCUGCAAUGUUCAAGGCCUAGAAAUAUAGUAAAAACAUCCUUGAAAUAAUUAAUGUGUCUCCAGUGGUUCAACCUUAAAUUUAUGGUUAUGGGAAUGGGAUUUUUAUUUUUAUUUUUUUGAGCUAAAAAAACAAAAAUAAUGACUUCAUUCAACAAUUUCUUCAUCAAUCUGUAAAAAGUCCACGUUGAAAUGGUAAACUAACAUCUAUUUAAAAGAGCCUAAAGCAGGACAGAACCUGGAGGACAGAAGAACCCUAUCCUGGAAGCACACUGUUUACGGAUUGAUUUAGGAGUGAAGAAAUUUAAUAAAGUCAUUUGUUUGUUUUUGCACACAAAAUACAUUCCUGUCACCUCAUAAAAUUAAGGUUGAACCACUGGAGUCACAUGGAUUAUUUCAGAAUGGUUCUUGAGAGGGAUAUGGUUUGUCAAUAAUUGUAUUACGUAACACUUUGCAGUUGGUCCAAAAAAUCCUGCAGACUAAACCUGGUGGAGACGCAAUCAUCAGGGAAUACAACAAAACCAAAAGCUUGACUGACAGCACCAGGAGAAAGAUGAUCAAGAUUCUUACUGCAGAUAUGACUGAAAAACACAGGUAAUCUGAUGCCGUCCCAAAAGAUUCUCCCACAGAACACAAAUGACAAUUUUAGAAGAUCUGGGCACAUAUUCACAAAACAUCUUAAGGCUUAAUGUAGCUCAUAACUCACCAAUUUAGAAGAAAAUCUUAAAAAGAAUGGGUGUGUCAGUCCUAAAUUUAGGACUCCUAAAUUUUGCUCUAAGAGUAUUUAACAAAGCAUUUUAUCAUUAAAACUAGCUCCUAAAUCUGUGAAAUCUUAGGAGCAGUGAAGAGGACUCCUAAGUCACUAAGACCAAGCCACAAACUAUCCUAAUAUGGCUUUUGGCAUAUAAUUUUGAUAAUGAGCUUUUAAAAAGGUAUCGCCUUUGGUUUUGGAGGUUAUCCCAAUCCAUUUUUUUCUCUGAUUAUAUCCUUGUUUUCAUUAACCUGCUGGGCAAGAAGUAACAGCUGUGCUUGUGUCCUGUUUGGUUUUCUUUUACAUUUGCAUGUAUUACUAUCAGCCAUGAUUAUUCUACUCUGUUUAUUAAAAGGCUGUUUAUAUGCAUAUUCACUAAUUGUUUAAGAGGCCGUUAGCUGAACAUAUGACACUUGCAUUUUAAAAUCUUUAUUUGAAUGUGGCAAUUAACAUUUUUAUUUUUAAAUCUUUAUUUGAAUAUGGCAUCAUAUUGCGUUCUCUGACAGAGACUAUCAGCCAAUCACUGUGUGCAUAGUUAGUAAGCAUGCUGACAUCCACAGCAACAAGGUCAACCCCGCCCUUUCUCUGAGCUUAAGACUUCUCUGUAUUCCUAAUUAAAAGUUUGUCCUAAUAGGUUUUAAGAGAAAACUAUUAGCUAAAAACUUUUACUGCAGUUUAGGUGAACUCUUAGUGGUAGGAUUAAAUGUUUUGUGAAUACGGGCCCUGAUCUGUCAGCUUCUUAAAGGGUUAUUUCACCCAAAAAUUUUAAUUCGGUCAUUAGUUACUCACUCUCAUGUCGUUCAAAACCCGUAAGACCUUUGUACAUUUUCGGAACACAAAUUAAGAUAUUUUUGAUUUAAAUCCGAGAGCUUUCUGACCCUGCAUAGAGAGCAAUGCAACUUAAAUUUUCCCAGACACUGAAACCUAGUAGGGACAUUGUUAAAGCAUAAAUAAAGUCAUUAUUUUUGUUUUCUUUGUGAACACAAAUAUUCCAUAGCUUCAUAAAAUUAUGGUUAAACCACUGAUGUUACAUGGACCAUUUUAACAAUAUCUUUACUACAUUUCUGGGCCUUGACUGUGGAAGGACCCUUGUUGUCUAUGCAGGGUCAGAAAGCUCUUGGAAUUCAUAAAAAAUAUCUUACUUUUUGUUUCGAAGAUGAACAAUGGUCUUACGGGUUUGGAAUGGCAUGAAGGUGAGUAAUUAAUGAUAGAAUUUA
rnacentral:lncRNA from 1 species